rnacentral:lncRNA from 1 species
GUGGACUGCAUCAUUUCUCCUAGUCUAAUAUUCUAAGACUUGCAGGAUGAUAAUUUAGGUUGAGCUGGGUAAAGUCAGCUUCUACUAUAAUCUCUAAGAAGAUUCCAGUAACAUGUGGAGGAAUCAUGUGUGCAUUAUUGCUUCCUAAGAUGCCUGCACAUCAUUCCUGAAAAUUACAGGCUUUUUCAUCCAUCUGUAAGCAUGUACUAACUCUGAAAACUUCUACCUAUGCAAGGAUGCUGUUGACUCUUCAUUUUUCUCCUCUUGCAUACUGCCUCUGAUGUCAUCUUUCUUCAGCUUUUCUGUACAGAUGGAAGGGCAGAAGUCUACCAGUGUAGCUCUGAUUCUCUUUGCUACCCAAAGACAAAACUUCAAGGUUGCUUACCUUAGAAAAAAUCACCUGCCAUUCAUGAGGGAGUCCUGUAGAGAGGCAAGCCAGUGGCUGUGUAAGCAAGAAGGUCUCCCAGUUGUGCCUUCAGAUGAAACUGCAGUCAGAACCAGCAGUGACCCUGAGUGAAUGACCUCAUGAGUGACUCUGAGCCUUGAAUCCUCAGGUAAACUACAUCCAGACUCCACCCACAGAAUUAAUAUAUAUUUGUUACUUUAAAUUACUAAGUUUGUGGAAUAAUUUUUUAAACAUAGAAUUAGGUCAUUCAAACAGACAUUGUUACAAAGGACAGAACACUGGUCCUUUGACUAGGGAAACCAGAGGGGUAGCACUCACUUAAAACCUAUUAGUUAAAAAAAAAAAAAACCUAUUAGUUAUAACUUAGUUCUACUUAUGAGGGUUUAACAUUACCCUUUCACAUGUAUUCGUUCGUUUGGUUAAUCCAAG